rnacentral:rRNA from 1 species
AGUGAACGCUGGCGGUAGGCCUAACACAUGCAAGUCGAACGGCAGCACAGUAAGAGCUUGCUCUUACGGGUGGCGAGUGGCGGACGGGUGCGGAAUACAUCGGAAUCUACUUUUUCGUGGGGGAUAACGUAGGGAAACUUACGCUAAUCCCGCAUACGACCUACGGGUGAAAGCAUGGGAUCUUCGGACCUUGCGCGAUUGUAUGAGCCGAUGUCGGAUUAGCUAGUUGGCGGGGUAAAGGCCCACCAAGGCGACGAUCCGUAGCUGGUCUGAGAGGAUGAUCAGCCACACUGGAACUGAGACACGGUCCAGACUCCUACGGGAGGCAGCAGUGGGGAAUAUUGGACAAUGGGCGCAAGCCUGAUCCAGCCAUACCGCGUGGGUGAAGAAGGCCUUCGGGUUGUAAAGCCCUUUUGUUGGGAAAGAAAAGCAGCAGGUUAAUACCCCGCUGUUCUGACGGUACCCAAAGAAUAAGCACCGGCUAACUUCGUG